rnacentral:rRNA from 1 species
UAGGGAAUCUUCGGCAAUGGGGGGAACCCUGACCGAGCAACGCCGCGUGAGUGAAGAAGGUUUUCGGAUCGUAAAGCUCUGUUGUUAAGGAAGAACGAGUGUGAGAAUGGAAAGUUCAUACUGUGACGGUACUUAACCAGAAAGGGACGGCUAACUACGUGCCAGCAGCCGCGGUAAUACGUAGGUCCCGAGCGUUGUCCGGAUUUAUUGGGCGUAAAGCGAGCGCAGGCGGUUAGAUAAGUCUGAAGUUAAAGGCAGUGGCUCAACCAUUGUAGGCUUUGGAAACUGUUUAACUUGAGUGCAGAAGGGGAGAGUGGAAUUCCAUGUGUAGCGGUGAAAUGCGUAGAUAUAUGGAGGAACACCGGUGGCGAAAGCGGCUCUCUGGUCUGUAACUGGCGCUGAGGCUCGAAAGCGUGGGGAGCGAACAGG